rnacentral:rRNA from 1 species
GACGAACGUUGGCGGCGUGCUUAACACAUGCAAGUCGAACGGAAAGGCCCUGCUUUUGUGGGGUGCUCGAGUGGCGAACGGGUGAGUAACACGUGAGUAACCUGCCCUUGACUUUGGGAUAACUUCAGGAAACUGGGGCUAAUACCGGAUAGGAGCUCCUGCUGCAUGGUGGGGGUUGGAAAGUUUCGGCGGUUGGGGAUGGACUCGCGGCUUAUCAGCUUGUUGGUGGGGUAGUGGCUUACCAAGGCUUUGACGGGUAGCCGGCCGGAGAGGGUGACCGGCCACAUUGGGACUGAGAUACGGCCCAGACUCCUACGGGAGGCAGCAGUGGGGAAUAUUGCACAAUGGGCGGAAGCCUGAUGCAGCAACGCCGCGUGCGGGAUGACGGCCUUCGGGUUGUAAACCGCUUUCGCCUGUGACGAAGCGUGAGUGACGGUAAUGGGUAAAGAAGCACCGGCUAACUACGUG